GCCUUAAUUGUUGAAAAAGUUGAAGCGAGACUCAAAUGGAACCUUAAGUUACUUUAUUGAUAUACAUUCCAGAUUUCAUUUGGAAUUGUUUUGUGCAUUUUAUUAUAGCAUUUUUCUUUUAUUAAUCCGCCUUCAAAAUAUAAUUGGGUUUUAUGAUUGACAACAUCAACUCUUCCCCGUCAUCCACCUAUCAUAUAGAGACCACGACCAGCUAGUGUAGCAAACACUGAUGUGUUUGACAGGAGCAAAGGUGAAUCACUCUCUUCAUGACUUUGAUUAAAAGGCCCCAGAUGGAAGAAAGAGCAACCGAUCUCACAAACACACACGAUGUCAGUCAAGAAAACAAUGAAAGUUCAAGAGCUUGACUGAGGCCUGACCAUCAGAUUUCUCGGAAUAAAGGCAGAGUUAUUGCCCAAUAUUAAAAUUUGCUUCAAAUAACAUGGUGUUAUUUUUGCGUUCUAUGGUUUCUACUUUCUACACAGACAUUACAACACUAAUUUACAUUCUGUGCAUGCUGACAUAACCUGAAAAAAAAAACCAAUGCGGUUGAGCCAUUUCCUUCGUUCCUUUUUUUGAAAACUAAAAUUGGUACUAAUAAGACGGGUCCUUGCUGCUCUUUGCCACAACAAAUAAGCAGCAGGUUCAGUCUCCGGUUGAGUAGUUCAAGGUUAUUUGUGAACUUGAUUUUUAGAAAGCUAAAGGCCUUUGUUAGGUCAGCAAGGAACAAUAUAUCAGCAAACAUUUUAGGAAGGGAAAAUGCAAUGAAGGAAAUGGCUCAACCACAUUGCAGCACUUUUUUUCAUGUUAGUAACAUGCAAAAGGAUGGAAUAUUCCCUUUACGUAAAACAGCAUCAACAUACAGUGUGUUGGAUGGAGUUUAGACUGCAGAACUAAUAUCUGUUACAAAUGCUUUAACAACAUUUGUUUAUUGUUUACUUUGUGUUGUUGCUUCAUGCACACAUGUCUCAAGUUU